rnacentral:lncRNA from 1 species
GGACUCUGCAGGAAGGCUUUCUCUAUGCUGCUGCUGCCCAGUGACUAUUGGUACUUUGAUUCAGAAGGAGUUGUACCAAGGAUAUCGAAAUCAUUCAGGUGUUGGAUGUUCGUGACCUUAAUAAACACAUGACAGCUUUUAUUAUCUGAGGCUUCAAACCCCACUGCGUGGAAGGAGGAAUGGUGCUAAGUGAGGCAGAAAGGGGAAAUGGGAGGCAGCAGCGCCUCUGUAAUAGGCUCAGAAGAGGACAGCAAACUGUAAAACUAUGGAAUAGCAGAGUUCUCCAGCUGGAUAGAGAUGGCAGAUGA